AUACGGAGGGUGCAAGCGUUAAUCGGAAUUACUGGGCGUAAAGAGUACGUAGGCGGCCUACUAAGUCAGAUGUGAAAGCCCAGGGCUCAACCUUGGAACUGCAUUUGAAACUGGUAGGCUAGAGUAUGGUAGAGGGGGGUAGAAUUUCUGGUGUAGCGGUGAAAUGCGUAGAUAUCAGAAGGAAUACCAGUGGCGAAGGCGGCCCCCUGGCCCAAUACUGACGCUGAGGUACGAAAGCGUGGGUAGCGAACGGGAUUAGAAACCCCGGUAGUCC
rnacentral:rRNA from 1 species